AGACUUCCUGCUCCUCCGCCGCUCCCCUUAUCGUCGCCUAGCCGGGGACCCGGACCCAGCCUCUCCCCCACUCGGUCACCGGCCCGGCUCCUCCAAGGCCCCGGUUCCCCCAGCCCCGCUUCGCCGCCGCCAUGGCGGACCCUAAAUACGCCGAUCUCCCCGGCAUUGCCAGGAACGAGCCAGAUGUUUAUGAAACCAGCGACCUACCUGAGGAUGAUCAAGCAGAGUUUGAUGCGGUAAGACUAUGUGCUACACCUCAGGAUCCCUUGGGACUCUGACCUUUCUCCCCAGAUACAGGCCCUUUCCCUUCUCUGGCAAGCCACAACAAUAAGUGGGUAUGCCAACCCCAGCCUGGGUGGUAUGUAGGUCUCAGAACUUUUAAAGGCCUUGUUCAGCUUCUGGCAGCCACCAGUGAACGAUACUAGAAAGGAGAGUCAAGCCAGUGAGAUUACAACUAACAGGACCUGUAAAACCCAAGUCUUAUUAAAUACAAUUGAAGUAUCUCUAAGCAGUUACAUUCUGGACUAGCAAUCGAUUAGUGAGGCCCCUGGGUUCUAAACCACGCGUUGAAUUAUGAAACUUGAACAUAAUACAUUGUUCAAGGUUAGGGUGGGCCUUUUUUAUUUUAUAAGAUAUUUCAAUCAUUAAAUUAAAUCGUUAUUAGUACUUAGCAAGAACUUGAAUUUGGAACUGUACUAACCAUUAGGGAAGGUGUAAUCAGCAGAGAAGAGACAAUGGUAAUAAUAUAUUAAGUCUGUCCUUAGAGCAGGGGAGCAUAAUACGAGGAGCCAACUCAGCGAUGGCUCAGAACCUCUGCCUGUAGAAUACCAAGCGUGCAGAGAGAGACUGUCUGCCAGUCGCUGAUGCAGACAGACAGUAUCACUGCAGCCCUGUAGACUCAGGUGCUGCAGCUGCUCUCAUCACCGUAGCUCAGCCAGCUUUUUAGAAGAGUGUGUGUGGAGACCUUCAGUGCUGCAGGAGCCCUGAGAGCUAAGUCACUUCCUGAUGUCAGCUAAUAUCUUUGGCCCCUACAUGUCCCUAUGGGCCUUAGGAAGGCCGUGUCUGGGAAGGGUGCUGCGUAACGGCUCUGCUGCUGCUCAUAACGUGCUGACGUGAACGUGCAGUUUGAGGGGCAGCUCCAAUCCAGAAACACUGUGGCUCUGAGGCCUGGGUGCUGGCUGGGAGCCGCUGAGCCAUGAGGUCUUCUGCCGCUUCGGAAUCUCCAGAUUGUUUUCAAUUUGAAUUUCAUUUGUUUUCAAAUUAAGUCAUACAUUUGUA
rnacentral:lncRNA from 1 species